rnacentral:rRNA from 1 species
ACGCUGGCGGCGUGCGUAACACAUGCAAGUCGAACGAGAGAGUGAGAGAAGCUUGCUUUUCUUACGAUCGAGUGGCAAACGGGUGAGUAACGCGUAAACAACCUGCCCCGCAGAUGGGGACAACAGCUGGAAACGGCUGCUAAUACCGAAUACGGUCCUCUUAGCGCAUGGUAAGAGGAAGAAAGGGUGGCCUCUGGAACAAGCUACCGCUGUGGGAGGGGUUUGCGUCUGAUUAGCUGGUUGGAGGGGUAACGGCCCACCAAGGCGACGAUCAGUAGCCGGUCUGAGAGGAUGAACGGCCACAUUGGAACUGAGACACGGUCCAGACUCCUACGGGAGGCAGCAGUGGGGAAUCUUCCGCAAUGGGCGAAAGCCUGACGGAGCAACGCCGCGUGAGUGAAGACGGCCUUCGUGUUGUAAAGCUCUGUUAUAGGGGACGAACGGCCGGGUAGCGAAUAGGUACCCGGCAUGACGGUACCGUUAGAGAAAGCCACGGCUAACUACGUGCCAGCAGCCGCGGUAAUACGUAGGUGGCAAGCGUUGUCCGGAAUGAUUGGGCGUAAAGGGCGCGCAGGCGGCUGUGUAAGUCUGUCUAAAAAGUGCGGGGCUAAACCCCGUGAGAGGAUGGAAACUGGACAGCUGAGAGUGUCGGAGAGGAAAGCGGAAUUCCUAGUGUAGCGGUGAAAUGCGUAGAUAUUAGGAGGAACACCGGUGGCGAAAGCGGCUUUCUGGACGACAACUGACGCUGAGGCGCGAAAGCCAGGGGAGCAAACGGGAUUAGAUACCCCGGUAGUCCUGGCCGUAAACGAUGGGUACUAGGUGUAGGAGGUAUCGACCCCUCCUGUGCCGGAGUUAACGCAAUAAGUACCCCGCCUGGGGAGUACGGCCGCAAGGCUGAAACUCAAAC